AACAGGAUUAGAUACCCUGGUAGUCCACGCCGUAAACGAUGAUAACUAGCUGUCCGGGGACUUGGUCUUUGGGUGGCGCAGCUAACGCAUUAAGUUAUCCGCCUGGGGAGUACGGCCGCAAGGUUAAAACUCAAAUGAAUUGACGGGGGCCUGCACAAGCGGUGGAGCAUGUGGUUUAAUUCGAAGCAACGCGCAGAACCUUACCAGCGUUUGACAUGUCCGGACGAUUUCCAGAGAUGGAUCUCUUCCCUUCGGGGACUGGAACACAGGUGCUGCAUGGCUGUCGUCAGCUCGUGUCGUGAGACGUUGGGUUAAGUCCCGCAACGAGCGCAACCCUCGCCUUUAGUUACCAUCAUUCAGUUGGGGACUCUAAAGGAACCGCCGGUGAUAAGCCGGAGGAAGGUGGGGAUGACGUCAAGUCCUCAUGGCCCUUACGCGCUGGGCUACACACGUGCUACAAUGGCGGUGACAGUGGGCAGCAAACUCGCGGGAGUGCGCUAAUCUCCAAAAGCCGUCUCAGUUCGGAUUGUUCUCUGCAACUCGAGAGCAUGAAGGCGGAAUCGCUAGUAAUCGCGGAUCAGCAUGCCGCGGUGAAUACGUUCCCAGGCCUUGUACACACCGCCCGUCACACCAUGGGAGUUGGGUUCACCCGAAGACGUUGCGCUAACUCGCAAGAGAGGCAGGCGACCACGGUGGGCUUAGCGACUGGGGUGAAGUCGUAACAAGGUAACC
rnacentral:rRNA from 1 species